AAUUCAUAAUUUUCAAAAAUUAUUUAUAAUAAAUGAUCCUUUCGUACUAAAUUAUUAAAUAUUUUUAAAGAUAGAAACCAACCUGGCUUAAACCGGUUUGAACUCAGAUCAUGUAAAAUUUUAAUGAUCGAACAGAUCAAAACUUUAAACUUUUGCAUCUAAAUUUUAUUUUAAUCCAACAUCGAGGUCGCAAACUCUUUUUUUUAUAAGAACUAAAAAAAAAAAUUACGCUGUUAUCCCUAAGGUAACUUAAUCUUUUAAUCAAAAUUUAUGGAUCAUUUAUACAUAAAUCAAUGUUUAAAUUAUAAAAAAGUUAAAUAAGUUUUUUUAUCACCCCAACAAAAUUAAAAAUCAUAAUUAUAUAAAAAAUUUAUAAAAAAUAAAAUCAUAAUAUAUAAUAAAACUCUAUAGGGUCUUCUCGUCUUUUAAAUAAAUUUCAUCUUUUUAAAUGAAAAAUAAAAUUAUAAUUAUAUAAUAGAGACAGUUAAUAUCUCAUCCAAUCAUUCAUACAAGUCAUCAAUUAAAAGACUAUUGAUUAUGCUACCUUUGUACAGUCAAAAUACUGCAGCCCUUUAAUAUUAAAUCAGUGGGCAGAUUAAACUUUAUAUUAUUUAUCAAAAAGACAUGUUUUUGAUAAACAGGUGAAUAUUAAUAAUUAUUUGCCGAAUUCCUUAAAUAUAUAUAUAUAUAUAUAUAAAUUUUAUUUUUAAUAUUAUUAAUAUAAUAAUUUAACCAUUAUUAAUUAAAUUAAUUUAUUAAAUUAAAAAUUUUUAUAAAAAAUUAAACUUAUAUAAAAUCUUAUUUAAAUUAAAAUUAUUUAUAAUAAAAUAAAAUUAAUAAACAAUAUAAAUUUUAUAAAUUUUAAAUUAUAAAAAAUUAUUAUAAAAAUUUAUUUUAAAGAUUAUCCCUUAAAAUAUUAAAUAUUUUAAAUAUAAAUUUUUUAAUUAAAUAUUAAAUUAAAAUAAAUGAAUUAAAUUCAUUUCUAAAAAAACCAGAUAUAUUAAAAAACGACUAACAUUUCAUUUCAAAAUAGUUAUUUUAAAUAAUUUUUCAACAUUAAAUUAAUUAACUAAUUAAAUCUUUUUAAUUCGAAAAAAUUUUAUAAAAAAAAUUUUUUAGUCAACUCUGAUACACAAGAUACAUUAAAUUGAAAUUUCUUCCCCCCAAAAAAAAUUUCAAUUAUUUUAAUAAUCUUUUACAAUACCAAUAAACUAUAAAUAUUUAUAAUUAAUUU
rnacentral:rRNA from 1 species